rnacentral:rRNA from 1 species
UGGGGAAUAUUGGACAAUGGGCGGAAGCCUGAUCCAGCCAUGCCGCGUGUGUGAAGAAGGCCUUUUGGUUGUAAAGCACUUUAAGCGAGGAGGAGGCUACUUGGAUUAAUACUCUAGGAUAGUGGACGUUACUCGCAGAAUAAGCACCGGCUAACUCUGUGCCAGCAGCCGCGGUAAUACAGAGGGUGCGAGCGUUAAUCGGAUUUACUGGGCGUAAAGCGUGCGUAGGCGGCUUCUUAAGUCGGAUGUGAAAUCCCUGAGCUUAACUUAGGAAUUGCAUUCGAUACUGGAAAGCUAGAGUAUGGGAGAGGAUGGUAGAAUUCCAGGUGGAGCGGUGAAAUGCGUAGAGAUCUGGAGGAAUACCGAUGGCGAAGGCAGCCAUCUGGCCUAAUACUGACGCUGAGGUACGAAAGCAUGGGGAGCAAACAGG